CAAAUAAACAGCAAAAAGUGCAGUCUCAGUAGAAUAUUUAAAUUCAAGAGAAAUUUGAGAUUCUUCCUAAAAUUAGAUUUAAAAUUUGGCAUGAUUGUAAUGCUACUAAAAAAAUAUAUCAUCACCAAAUUGCUUAUGAAAAUGGUUAUAAAUUAACCAUUGAGAAAAUGAUUGUAUAAAAUUAAUCAAAGUAAAAGUGAAUCAAACUGAAAAAUAUUGUUUAAUUCCCAGAAUAACUCUUAUGCAAAGUAAUUAUGAUUUUCAAUUUGAAUGAUAAAAUAGUUCCCAAUGAAACCAAUAUUGAAAUGAAAAUAAAUAAGGUUCAACCAGGGCUGCCGAGAGGGGGUGACAUCCGUGACUUUUGUCACUGGCCCGGCAUCGAAAGGGCCCGACCGUCGAGCUCUGAGGUAUCACUUAACAUGUUCGAUAAUCAUAAAGUGAGAAAGUGGAUGACGCAAU
rnacentral:lncRNA from 1 species